UGGGGAAUAUUGCACAAUGGGCGAAAGCCUGAUGCAGCGACGCCGCGUGCGGGAUGAAGGCCUUCGGGUUGUAAACCGCUUUUGAUUGGGAGCAAGCGAGAGUGAGUGUACCUUUCGAAUAAGCACCGGCUAACUACGUGCCAGCAGCCGCGGUAAUACGUAGGGUGCAAGCGUUAUCCGGAAUUAUUGGGCGUAAAGAGCUCGUGGGCGGUUUGUCGCGUCUGGUGUGAAAGUCCAUCGCUUAACGGUGGAUCUGCGCCGGGUACGGGCAGGCUAGAGUGCGACAGGGGAGACUGGAAUUCCCGGUGUAACGGUGGAAUGUGUAGAUAUCGGGAAGAACACCAAUGGCGAAGGCAGGUCUCUGGGUCGUCACUGACGCUGAGGAGCGAAAGCGUGGGGAGCGAACAGGAUUAGAUACCCUGGUAGUCCACGCCGUAAACGGUGGAUGCUGGAUGUGGGGCCCCA
rnacentral:rRNA from 1 species